rnacentral:rRNA from 1 species
UACGUAGGGUGCAAGCGUUGUCCGGAAUUAUUGGGCGUAAAGAGCUCGUAGGCGGUCUGUCGCGUCUGCUGUGAAAACUCAGGGCUUAACCCUGAGCUUGCAGUGGGUACGGGCAGACUAGAGUGCGGUAGGGGAGACUGGAAUUCCUGGUGUAGCGGUGAAAUGCGUAGAUAUCAAGAGGAACACCUGAGGUGAAGACGGGUUGCUGGGCUGAUACUGACGCUGAGGCGCGAAAGCUAGGGUAGCAAACGGG